UCAGAAUUUGGCGUAAACAAGAAAGCAUAAAUUCAUCCUGCCUUGUGGCAAUUCGGUUCAGGCUAGUGGUGGUCGUGCAAUGGCGUGGCCGGGAGGUAUUUGCGUUGCACUCUUUGGGACACUUAGUACCAAUUGAGCCUCGUUAAGCGCCAUAGCUUACCUGAGUAUUGUUGCUGACCAUGUCCGUCCCUUUACGACCACACUGUACCCAUCUUCCAAUGGUUAUAAGCUACCCCAGCAGGAUAACGCGCCGUGCCCUAAUGCCCAAAUCCUCUCAAACUGGUUUCUUGAACAUGACUAUGCGUAUACUGUACUCGCAUAACCCACAGUCUACACAUCUAACUACAUCUAAAUCCAAUAGAGCACAUUUGGGAUGUGGUGGAAUAGGAGUUUCGCAUCAUGGACGUGCAGCCGACAAAUCAGCAGCAACUGCAUGAUGCUAUCAUGUCAACAUGGACCAAAACAUCUAAGGAAUGUGUCCAGGCCCUUGUAGAACCUGUGUAGGCCUAUGCCACGAAGAAUUAAGGAAGGCAGUUUCGAAGGCAACACUGGAUCCAACCCGGCACCAACAAGGUGUACCUAUUAAAGUGGACGUGCCGAUGUCGUCUGGCUUUUCACCUCUCCCCAGGGAGAACAAAACCUAGCAACAAUUUUAUCAGUGAGCAGUAUGGAGGUGUUGCUGUACUUCUUGCUGGUCUCAGAGCCCAGCGUGACGAACCUGAGCAGGAACAGAGACAGACUGGAGCACCAGAUCACCAGCUCCCAGUUAUAGUGACACUCCAGGAACGUUUCAUGGAUGUGGAGCAACUGGAGGAAGAGAUGCAAGUACAUUAUUUGAAAUUACCUGGGCACAGCAGAUGAAGACGACAGACAGAGUGAGCAGGAAGGCAGACGACACGAUCACAUCCACUGAACGCUGAGGACCCCGUCUCUACAAAUGCAACAGUCCUCUCUGCGACACUGAGCAGGAAGAAAAAGAGCCAUAUAAGGCAGACCCGCACCAGGAAGCUAAGUGUUACCAUGGUGAUGACCAAGGCGUCUGAUCCAGACCCACCUCCCAGCGCCACAGACAGCAGUUCAUUGGCUGAGAGUGCGGUCAGCUGAUCAAAGUCACGGUACUGAGCCAGCCUGCAGGAGAUGGAGAAAGACUGGCGUUUUGGGGUCCUGGUGGAGACGAUCUGACAGUGGACGGUGCCCAGCAGCAACAUGAGCCAGAUGGCUCCAAACACCUCGGUGGUCGGUAUCCCAUGAGGCUGGGGGAUGGUCACAUACAGGACUGCUGCUGCCACUGCAGGGGAGAGACAAGCGAGCAUGCAUGGACAAAUGGCAUUCACCAAAUUAUUCUUCUGCCCUCUGGUGGUCAAAAUCAAAUACAGGGUUUGUGAGUGUUUUUAUGCUAUAUACGGGGGAAGUGAGCAGGAAGGGCGGAGGGUUUAAGAGCGAGAUGAAGAAUAAAAUAACAGUCUGGUUCUCGUCAGGGCUGAAAAGGGCAUCGUGACGUACGUGGUGGAAAACACUGUUGAGUGGUCUUGGAAGUGUUUGUGCAGCUCUGUAGGAGUAACGCGGGAGUACUCCAUGCUUUCAAGAUAAUUUUCUACACUGCAUGCACAUUUUUAGAUUAGAUCCAAGUAGCAGCUGUUGAACAUCUUGUGAACUUGGUUUUUGUUAGAAGAUUUAAACAUCCACUGAGGAAGGAUCAAUUCAGAUACCAGACCAAUCAGUAAAUGUUUACGCUGCUGCAACUCGCCUCUUAAAUCUACUGAACCUCAUUAAACACUAUUGAAACAAAGAAUUAUUCUCUCACACACACACACACACCUUGCAGCAAAUAGAGAACCAGCAGUAAGAGGAAAAUGGUUCUCGAGGUGACCUGGAUCCACCAUCGAUAAAAGAAUGGGAAGAAGACAACUCUGACGAUGCCUUUCCGGGUCAGUGACGUCCAGGGACUCUCUGGUUUGGCCUUGGCAAACGCCGAACCUGCGGAGGAAGAGAAUAAAUACACACACUUAGUUUAACAAGGAGAACCAAUUACUCAAUAGCUAUUACUUGACACUAUUAGAAUAUAACAGCAGUCGCAAAUAAAGGCUUUUAAACAAAAUAAAACUAACAGAAAAGGUUUCAGGAGUAAUGUGACCUGGAAUUGGGGAGAAUUUAACGACACUGGCAGCCAAGGUGACAUAUUUUACAGCCGUUAGCAAGCAUGUAGUUGGGACAAUGUUAACACCGCAGUGGCUUAACCCUUGUGUUGUCUUCCUGUCGACAACUUUUUGU